GAUGAACGCUGGCGGCGUGCCUAAUACAUGCAAGUCGAGCGAAGCGGGGACGGGUGAGUAACACGUGGAUAACCUCCUAUAAGACUGGGUUAACUUCGGGAAACCGGAGCUAAACCGGAUACUAAUCGAUGGAUCCGCGCUGCAUUAGCUAGUUGUUAAGGUAACGGCUUACCAAGGCAACGAUGCAUAGCCGACCUGAGAGGGUGAUCGGCCAAACUGGGACUGAGACACGGUCCAGACUCCUACGGGAGGCAGCAGUGGGGAAUCUUCCGCAAUGGGCGAAAGCCUGACGGAGCCAUGCCGCGUGAGUGAUGAAGGUCUUCGGAUCGUAAAGCUCUGUUAGUAGGGAAGCGGUACCUAAUCAGAAAGCCACGGCUAACUACGUGCCAGCAGCCGCGGUAAUAC
rnacentral:rRNA from 1 species